ensembl:lncRNA
UCCAAGUGAUUUUUCUCCUGUUUUUUGAUUCCAACAAAAGCCACUUAGGAUUAUUUUUGUUGUUUUUAUUUUUUUAAUGGCAGGAAAGGCAGUGGUGCAGCCCUCUACGUUAAGAAAGAAUGGGAAUGGCUGGAGAUGAAGGAUGGCGAUGAUAGGGUUGAGAGCUUCUAGGUCAGAAGAAAAGCAAAGGCCAGUAAGACUGACCUUAUCGUGGGAGUGUGCUACAGGCCACCCAACCAGGAUGAAGAGGUGGGCAAGACACUUUAGACACAGCCGCAGGAGGUCUCAAGGUCUCUCCCCUUGUUCUUGUGGGCUAUUGCAAAGUCCCAGACAUCUGCUGGACUUAUAAUACAGCAGAUAGGGAACAGUCCCAGAGGUUCCUCGAGUGUGUGCGAGAUCACUUCCUGACACAGCUGGUGAGGCAGCCAGCAAGGGGAAGCAAAAUCCUGCUGUUUGUUAACAGAGAAGGUCUUGUGGGGGAUGUCAAGGCUGGAGGCCGCCUGGGGCAAAGGGAUCGUGAGAUGCUAGAUUUCUCAAUCCUUGUUGAACCACGGAGGGGAGUCAGCAGAACUGCCACCUUGGACUUCCAGAGAGCAAACUUGAACCUCUUUAGGA